CCAGCUAAUUUUUAAAUCUGCUUGUUAGGUAUGACUUGAUGAGGCAAGAUACAUUGAGCAUCAUGUGGUUCAGUAGAGCAGUGGUGUCUACACUAAGAUGAAUGUUAGAAUUACCUUAGGUGCUUCU